ensembl:snoRNA
AUGUUUCUAUUUGACCGACAUGGGACAAUUCUUGUAUGCUAUUUGUUUCACUACAGAUACAAGAGAAAAGUAUCCUUGAGCUUUCUGUCUGAGUAGAGCAGCCAAGAUUGAAUGGGGGAAUAAAAUA